rfam:Candidatus Adlerbacteria bacterium RIFCSPLOWO2_01_FTLL_51_16 rifcsplowo2_01_scaffold_21825, whole genome shotgun sequence.
GUGAUCAGCCAAGGGUUAGUCGGACCUAAGCCUAUGGCGAAAGCCGGAGGCGAUGGGCAUGAGGUUAAUAUUCCUCAACCGGCGCACUGGUGAUGGAGAGACGGAGAAUAUAAGCAGCAGCGUCUUACUGGAUUGACGUUUGCGCUUUGAGAUGGGUACCACAGGUAAAUCCGUGGCACUGCUUUUAAUAGCGACAUCGUGAAGCGUGAAGCACUUUUUGGCUUCGGCUGAUUAGGAUUGCUGUGAAGAGGCUUCCAAGAAAAUCUUCUAAACUUAACAGUGCGUACGACCGUACCGCAAACCGACACAGGUGAUCAGCUCGAGUAGAGCAAGGCGAACGAGUGAGUGUUCUCCAAGGAACUCGGCAAAAAAGCGGCCGUACCUUCGGAAUAAGGCCUGCCCUUGGUUAACUCCAAGGGCCGCAGCGAAAGUAUCCCUGGCAACUGUUUACCAAAAACACAGCUCCCUGCGAACUCGUAAGAGGAUGUAUAGGGGGUGACACCUGACCAAUGCCAGAAGGUCAACUAAGGCCGGUGCACAGCACUUGCCGCUUGAAUAAUCCCGCUCCGCGGACUCAACUAUAUUCGGAAUAUAGUUAUCGCGGGUGAGGAGUUCGAGACGCAAGUGCUGUGUGCUGACGCUUUAUAAGCCCUGGUGAAUGUCGGCGAUAACUAUAAUCGUCCUAAGGUAGCGAAAUUCCUUGUCUGGUAAGUUCAGACGCGCACGAAUGGUGUAAUGACUGGGGAACUGUCUCGGAGAACAGCUCGGUGAAAAUACAGUACCGGUGAAGAUGCCGGUUACCUGCAGUUAGACGAAAAGACCCCAGAAGCUUUACUGUAGCUUGAUAUUGUGUAUAUGACGCGACUGCGUAGCAUAGAUGGGAGAGGUUUGACGGUUAGGAUUUCGGUUCUGAUCUACUCGCCAGUGAAAUACCAUUCUUUCUAGUUGUAUGCACUAACCGGCCCGGAAAAAACGGGUCGAGACAGUAUCUGGUAGGCAGUUUUAGUGGGGCGCUAUCCUCCUAAAAAGUAACGGAGGAGUUUAUUAAGGUACCCUAGGCGCGAAUGGAAACCGUGCCGAUAGCGCAAUGGCAAAAGGGUGCUUGACUGCGAGUCGUGAAUGACGAGCAGGUGCGAAAGCAGAACAUAGUGAACCGACCAUCCGCAUUAGAGGCGGUGGAAGAUUAUCUGACAAAAGCUACUCUGGGGAUAACAGGCUAGUUCCGCCUAAGCGUCCAUAGCGACGGCGGAGUUCGGCACCUCGAUGUCGGCUCAACUUAUCCCGGGGGUGGAGAAGCUCCCAAGGGUUUGGCUGUUCGCCAAUUAAAAAGUUACGUGAGCUGGGUUCAGACCGUCGUGAGACAGGUUGGUCUCCUAUCUACUGCAGGCGUCGAUUUUUGAGGGGAGUUGCUCCUAGUACGAGAGGACCGGAGUGAACCGACCACUGGUCUACCAGCUGUCACGCCCGUGGCACCGCUGGGUAGCUAUGUCGGGAUUGGAUAAGCGCUGAAAGCAUCUAAGCGCGAAGCCGACCCUAAGAUGAGAAAUCUUUGAGAUCCGUGAGAGAUUAUCACGUUGAUAGGCCGUAGGUGUACGCACAGCAAUGUGUUGAGCCGAGCGGUACUAAUCGAUCGAGUUCCAAUCUU